CUCUGUGCAAGAAGCAUUGUCAGA
rnacentral:piRNA from 1 species